rnacentral:rRNA from 1 species
UACGUAGGGGGCAAGCGUUGUCCGGAAUUACUGGGCGUAAAGGGCGCGUAGGCGGCCCGCUAAGUCGAACGUGAAAUCCCCGGGCUCAACCCGGGAACUGCGUCCGAUACUGGUGGGCUUGAAUCCGGGAGAGGGAUGCGGAAUUCCAGGUGUAGCGGUGAAAUGCGUAGAUAUCUGGAGGAACACCGGUGGCGAAGGCGGCAUCCUGGACCGGUAUUGACGCUGAGGCGCGAAAGCCAGGGGAGCAAACGGG